rnacentral:rRNA from 1 species
UACGAAGGGGGCUAGCGUUGCUCGGAAUUAUUGGGCGUAAAGCGCGCGUAGGCGGCUACCUAAGUCGGAUGCGAAAGCCCCUGGCUUAACUGGGGAAGUGCACCCGAAACUGGGUAGCUAGAGUGCAAAAGAGGGUCGCGGAAUUCCCGGUGUAGAGGUGAAAUUCGUAGAUAUCGGGAGGAACACCGGUGGCGAAGGCGGCGACCUGGGUUGACACUGACGCUGAGGCGCGAAAGCGUGGGGAGCAAACAGG